UACUACAGGUGACAUCAUCAACCUCAUCAACCUCAUUUGGAGGUGGCCCUCAAGGAAUAGGGUUGCCUGCCCCAUUUGAUUUAUUUUCCCACUGUCUCAUUUCCUAACGUAACACUUUAUUGCUGACUUUGUAGGUGACCUUUAAAUAUAUAUAUACAUAUAUAUUAUAAUAUUUGUUUAUUUUUUGGGGUCGGAAAUGUGGACUUUUUGUCUUCUCUGCGUCUGUUUACCAUGGUCGUCGUGCGGUGACGCAGAAACAGCUGCUAACGUUGCGGCGGAAGGCAGGGCGGCGCUGCAGAGGGUUCGGAACCUUGCGGCCCAACCGCGCUAUGGUGAAUGCUGGUCUAAUGCGCUGGAGAAUAUCGACGCGCGUUGCAGAGACUUCACAGUUGAUAUACAGAGUAGGAUUGCCCUACGUUUUACUCACUGUCACCUGCGCAAAUCUGGCCGUUCAUUCCCAGCAUGUCCAGAGGGCAGCGAGGUCAGCAGCUGUACUAGAACCAUGGACCCUGUGGCCUUCAACGCCUACACGGAAUUCUUCACCCACGCCCACAGCAUCUGUCGACACCUGCAGAGUGAGAGCUGGCAACACCAGGCUGAGAACACCAUUCACAGGCUAACAGAGAGCUCAGCGGGGGUGGUGGAGCGAUUGUCCUCAACCCAACGUAUGGCUGAGAGCCUAGUGGAGGCCCAGAGCGUCGCCCUCAAGUCACAGGAGACGAUCCUACGCAACGGAGAGGAACUCAAACACACUCUCCACCAUUCUACCCAAGGCAUCAGAGCAGUAUUUGAUGAGAUGAGACUGUCAACCCAGGAGCAACAAGUAGCAUUCGCAGAGAUCUUCAACCGUGUCACUUUCCUCCAGAGUUUCAUCAUGUCAGAGUCUCACACCCUCACCAGUCUACUCUACAACUCACUGGGGUUCCUCGUCUCCUUCUUCCUCACCUCGACACAGCGGACUGCUCCAGCCAGGUUUGUUCUGUUUGGUCUGGUAGUGCUGAAUGUGUACCUGGAGAGGAUGCUCUGUAGAGCGGUGCUGGACUCCUCUGAACCAGGCUACCAGCAGAUGGAGCAAAUCAGCCUGUUGGUGGGCCUCCUCAGAAGGGCCAUGGUUCUAGUGGGUCUAUUGGCUCUGGUCUACGUUGCUGUACGGUAUCGUAACGUCACCAAAGAGAGCCUGGAGAUCCUCACCCAACUCAAAGAGACUCGUACAAGUCUUCAGCUGGCCCUGCAGAAAGCCGAGUGUCUCUCUGAGGACAGGAGGAGCAGCGGAGCAAGAGGUCGAAGGUCAGAACAACGACCCAGUAGUAGGAAGGAGAAUAAGGAAGAAGACGACGACACUUCAGAUUUCACAUCAGAGAAACCCUACAUGACUCAAACCUAUGAUGCCAGUUGUUUGUGUUGCAUCAGGCUGGCAGUACGACAGCAGUCACAGCAGUCACAGCACCCUUGGAGGAGAGGAGACCCAGACCCAACGUACCCUGCCCAACCCUGCAAGACCUCAGCGUCGCUCCUCUGUCUCUAGACGUGCCCCGUCCUCCCCUUUGGUCUACAGUAUACUGGUGGAGGAUAAGCAGACACGCUACAAUCUGAGGAACCGGAGAUCUUCUGUGUCAGGCCUGGGGACAGACAGAGAGAGGGACUGACAUGGGCCUGGGGACUGACAUGGGCCUGGGGACAGACAGAGAGAGGGACUGACAUGGGCCUGGGGACAGACAGAGAGAGGGACUGACAUGGGCCUGGGGACAGACAGAGAGAGGGACUGACAUGGGCCUGGGGACAGACAUGGGCCUGGGGACAGACAGAGAGAGGGACUGACAUGGGCCUGGGGACAGACAGACAGAGAGAGGGACUGACAUGGGCCUGGGGACUGACAUGGGCCUGGGGACAGACAGAGGGACUGACUUGGGCCUGGGGACAGAGAGAGGGACUGACAUGGGCCUGGGGACUGACAUGGGCCUGGGGACAGAGACAGAGGGACUGACUUGGGCCUGGGGACAGAGAGAGAGGGACUGACAUGGGCCUGGGGAUAGAGAGAGAGGGACUGACAUGGGCCUGGGGACAGAGAGAGAGGGACUGACAUGGGCCUGGGGACAGACCGAGAGGGACUGACAUGGGCCUGGGGACAUGGGCCUGGGGACAGAGAGACUGAUUUAGAUCAAAGUAUACCCAAACGCUCUUCAGCCUUGGCUAAAGGAAUGCUUUUAUGGACUGACAUGGGCCUGGGGACUGACAUGGGCCUGGGGACAGACAGACAGACAGACCGACUGAUUUAAUACUUUUAUGGACUCAGAUGAUUCUUGCUUCAACCUCUGGUUCAUAGCAGUGAAGCAGCUGAUCCCACGAUACAUGUGUUAAAUAUUGGCCAUUUUCAUGAAUAUCACUGAUUUUCAGGAAUGUAGUAAUCAAAACUGUCUCAAUCUUGUGUAUUUUAAGUAAAUAAAGCUUUUAAAAUAUUU